rnacentral:lncRNA from 1 species
AAAAUUUCAAUUUUUGUGUGAAUUUCAAAUCGUUGUAAGUCAUACAGCCUAUCAAAAAACGGAGAAUAUGUUAUGUUUAUAUAAGUUCCUAUUGAUCCUCCUGGAGAAAAAAUAAAGAAUAAUGUUAAUUGAAAAUAUGUAAUGGAGGUGGGUGGACUCUCUACAUCAUCAAAAAUGCAGCCAUAACUCAGCAUAUAGAGGUGGAAGACUUAAUAAAUAUAAUAUCGGAAAAACAUCAUUUCUGGAAAAAUGCUCAGUGUAUUCAUCAUCAAUUUUGUUACAGAAAAGAGAGGUCAUGUUCAGCUAAGUAAUAAGAGGAAAAACUAUGAGUUGCGUAGAUCAGUGGACAACGUGCUCGGGAGAAAUUAUGCUAUUAUAUACGAGGUACAUAGGUUCGAUCUCUCCUAGAUAAGAAAAUAUACACUGUGUAUGAAUAUGGACUCCGAAUACAAUUCCUGGGUCAGAUGGGGGUAAUUGGAAUGCUAUAAUGUUACU